GCUUGUGAAGCUCAAUUGGUCGAGCGGAACGUUGAAGUUGUUUAGGUUGUAGGUUCAAAUCCUAUCGCGAGCA
rfam:Triticum urartu cultivar G1812 contig129857, whole genome shotgun sequence.